UCCCUCCAAAUAUAAUACUUAGAUUAAGUCUUUCAAAUCACAAUUUUUCUUACAUCUCCCCUGCAGGUCAAGCAUCGUAUAUACUCAAAAUAAAAACCUUGAAUAUUAGAAGAAAAAUGUUCACAGUAAGCUUAAGGAAAUACUCAAAAUUACAGUCAUUUUAUAUUUUGCUUCCA
rfam:Lupinus angustifolius cultivar Tanjil contig_26462, whole genome shotgun sequence.